rnacentral:misc_RNA from 1 species
GAUGAAGAACGCAGCGAAAUGCGAUAAGUAAUGUGAAUUGCAGAAUUCAGUGAAUCAUCGAAUCUUUGAACGCACCUUGCGCCCUUUGGCAUUCCGAAGGGCAUGCCUGUUUGAGUAUCAUGAACACCUCAACUCUUCAUGGUUUUCCAUGAUGAGCUUGGACUUUGGGGGUCUUGCUGGCCUGCGGUCGGCUCCUCUCAAAUGAAUCAGCUUACCAGUGUUUGGUGGGCAUCACAGGUGUGAUAACUCUCUGCGCUUGUGGUUUUCCACCAAGUAACCUUCAGCAGUGGAGGUUCACUGGAGCUCACAGACGUCUCUCCUCAGUGAGGACAGCCCUUUGAAUGUUUGAUCUCAAAUCAGGUAGGACUACCCGCUGAACUUAAGCAUAUCAAUAAGCGGAGGA